CAGCGAGGGAGGGACUGGUGGGAGGCAGCCGCCGCCGCCUGGCCACGGCGGCUCCGUACUCUCGACGGGCACCCAAGGAGGGCUCUGCCGUCCCCGCCUCCCCGGGAGCCGCCGGGGAUGGGGAACGCCGAGAGCGGGGAGCCCGGCGGGGGCUCCGGGCUCCUGCCGCCCCCGCCGGGGAAAGUGCCCAUGCCGGACCAGGGGGAGCUGGAGGAGAGAUUCGCGAUGGUGCUGAGCUCCAUGAACCUCCCUCCUGACAAGGCUCGUCUCCUCCGACAAUAUGACAACGAGAAGAAAUGGGACCUCAUUUGCGACCAGGAACGAUUUCAGGUGAAGAACCCACCCCACACAUACAUUCAGAAACUGAAGAGCUUCCUUGACCCUGGAGUCACCCGGAAGAAGUUCCGCCGGAGGGUGCAGGAAUCCACCAAAGUGCUGAGGGAGCUGGAGAUCUCUCUAAGGACCAACCACAUUGGGUGGGUGCGCGAGUUUCUCAAUGACGAAAACAAAGGCCUGGACGUGCUGGUGGAUUAUCUCUCCUUUGCUCAGUGUGCGGUGAUGUUUGAUUUUGAGGGCCUGGAAAGUGGUGAGGAUGGAGCGCUGGAAAAGCUGAAAUCCUGGAGCAGGUCCAUAGAGGAUCUGCAGCACCCCAGCACCCUGUCUGCACCCUACGCCAACAGCCUUGCUCGCUCUGCGCGGCAGUCUGCUCUCCGAUACACCACCCUUCCCAGCAGGAAAGCCCUGAAGAACUCACGGCUGGUUAGCCAGAAGGAUGACGUCCACGUUUGCAUCCUGUGCUUACGAGCCAUUAUGAACUACCAGUAUGGAUUCAAUUUGGUCAUGUCUCAUCCUCACGCUGUCAAUGAGAUUGCCCUCAGCUUGAACAAUAAGAACCCCAGGACAAAAGCCCUGGUAUUAGAACUGCUGGCAGCUGUUUGUCUGGUGCGUGGUGGCCAUGAGAUCAUUUUGGCUGCUUUUGAGAAUUUCAAGGAGGUUUGCAAAGAGCAGCAUCGCUUUGAGAAGCUGAUGGAGUAUUUCCGCAACGAGGACAGCAAUAUUGACUUCAUGGUGGCCUGUAUGCAGUUCAUCAACAUCGUGGUGCACUCUGUUGAGGACAUGAACUUCCGUGUGCACCUACAAUAUGAGUUCACCAAACUAGGUCUGGAAGAGUUCUUACAGAAGUCGAGACACACGGAAAGCGAAAAGUUGCAAGUGCAGAUCCAGGCUUACCUGGACAACGUAUUUGACGUAGGAGGGCUGCUGGAGGAUGCCGAGACCAAGAACGUAGCGUUGGAGAAAGUGGAGGAGUUGGAAGAACAUUUAUCACAUUUGACAGAAAAGCUUCUGGAUCUGGAGAAUGAAAACAUAAUGCGGGUGGCAGAGCUGGAGAAACAGCUGCUACAGCGGGAGAAGGAGUUGGAGAUUGUCAAGGAAACCUACGAAAGUGCCAGCAACCAGGUCCACACCCUGCGCAGAAUCAUCAAGGAGAAGGAGGAGGCUUUCCGACGCCACUAUACCUCUCGCCCAACAGGGGGAGACCACCUGCCGCUGCCGCCACCUUCAGGGGCGGAGGUCAACUUCAGCCACAUCCCCGAGGAUGACCUCUGCCUCCCGGUCCUGCCUCCCAUGGAGGCUGCCCCUCCACCCCCGCCCCCUCCUCCGCCUCUCCCCCCACCCCCUCCUCCGCUACCCGAUAAGUGUCCGCCAGCUCCACCACUUCCGGGGACAUCACCCUCUAUGAUUCUCACUAUGGGCUUAUCAGCUAUCCGGAUUAAGAAACCCAUCAAGACGAAAUUCCGCUUGCCGGUCUUUAACUGGACGGCCUUGAAGCCCAACCAGAUCAGCGGCACAGUCUUCAGUGAGCUGGAUGAUGAAAGGAUCUUGGAGGACCUUGAUCUAGACAAGUUUGAGGAGCUCUUUAAGACCAAAGCCCAAGGCCCGGCCAUUGACCUCCUCUGCUCUAAGAACAAGGCAUCCCAUAAGGCAGCCAACAAGGUCACCCUGCUGGAAGCCAACCGGGCCAAGAACCUUGCCAUCACCUUGCGCAAAGCAGGGAGGAGCACAGAGGAGAUAUGCAAAGCCAUUCACACGUUUGACCUGAAGACUCUCCCGGUGGACUUUGUCGAGUGCCUCAUGCGCUUCUUGCCGACGGAGAACGAGGUCAAGCUGCUGCGCCAGUAUGAGAAGGAGCGGAAGCCGCUGGAGGAGCUGUCAGACGAGGACCGCUUUAUGCUGCACUUCAGCAAGGUGGAGCGCCUGACGCAGCGCAUGGCCAUCAUGGCCUUCCUGGGCAACUUCAGUGAGAACAUCCAGAUGCUCAUGCCGCAACUGAGUGCAAUCAUUGCUGCCUCUGCAUCUGUCAAGUCUUCACAGAAGCUCAAACGCAUGUUGGAGAUCAUCCUUGCCCUUGGCAACUACAUGAACAGCAGCAAACGUGGUUCAGUUUAUGGUUUUAAGCUGCAGAGUCUUGAUUUGCUGUUGGACACCAAGUCGACAGACCGGAAGCUAACCCUCUUGCACUUCAUUGCCAUGAUGGUGAAGGAGAAAUACCCGGAGCUGAGCACCUUCUGGCAGGAAUUGCACUUCGUGGAGAAAGCGGCUGCAGUAUCCCUGGAGAAUGUGCUGCUGGAUGUAAAGGAGCUGGGGCGUGGGAUGGAGCUGAUCCGGCGGGAGUGCAGCUUGCGUGACCAUAGCAUCCUGCGCAGCUUCCUGAACGCCAAUGAGGGCAAGUUGGACCGGCUACAGAAAGACGCUAAGACUGCGGAGGAGGCCUACAACACGGUUGUGCGCUAUUUCGGCGAGAGCCCCAAGACGACACCGCCGUCCGUUUUCUUCCCGGUCUUUGCACGCUUCAUCCGAUCCUACAAGGAUGCAGAGCAAGACAACGAGAUGCGUAAGAAGCAGGAACAGGCCCAAAGAGAGCAGGCGCUGGCCCAAGAAGCCAAGAGGCUGGAGAAGUUGCCUUUGCAGCGCAACAAGUGGCAGCAGCAAGAGUUGAUUGCUGAGCUGAGGCGGCGCCAAGCCAAGGACCACCGGCCUGUUUAUGAAGGCAAAGAUGGGACCAUUGAGGAUAUUAUCACCGUGUUGAAGAGCGUCCCCUUCACUGCCCGCACAGCGAAGCGGGGGUCUCGCUUUUUCUGCGAGCCAUCCCACCAUGACGAGCCUAACUGUUAGCUCCACCCUCUCCCUCGUCAAAGCAGCAAGAACCAUCUGCCUCUAGUCCCCUCUCAAUUCAUCCGCAGCAGAGGAGCUCUGCAUAUCCUGCCUUUCCAAUGGGCUGAUGCUGCAUUCCCAACAGCCCAGGCCUAGUUCUUUUUUUGCCAAAGAAAAAAAAACUUCCAUCCUUUCAAACAUUUUAAGCUGAAGAACCAAAGGGACAUUUAGGAAGUGCCUUACUGCGACAGUAUUAUUGUUAUUCUCUUUAUUAUUUAAGGUGUAUUUUUUAAUCUGUACAUAUAUGGCCCUUCCCAUAAGCCCUUGCUCCUCCUGUCCCCUCGCUGAGCCAGCUCUGGACAAGGACAAGACUGUUUUGGUUGUUUAGAAAUGCCUUUGGCCAGCAGGUGUCUGACUUUCCCCCUUCAGCCCUUUGAGCAUCCGGACCAAAAUUGCACUUUGACUGAAUUGAGGACAUCAUCAUGGCUGGAGUCACAAUGCAAUGUGGGAGUGUGGGAUGUUUUCUUUUGGGGGGGGGGCGGGGGGAAUAUUUCCAUUAGUAGACCUUUGUGUAUGGCACUGGUUUUGUGGACCAGCAUCGUUUUUCUAGAGCAGUCUUCAGCAAUACUGUGGUCUUCUUGGAGCAGCAGUCUAUUGAGCUGGCACCGAAGAGUUUAAAAGCUAGGCUUCGAUGGCCUUUCGAAAAACCACUGGAAUCCUUCUUCAAAAGGGGAAACCUUCAGACCAAAAGUCUCAUGUCUCAACUGCACAAAGUGACCCUGGUGUUCGCACAGCAGAGAAACGACGGCGAUGAGCCAACCAUUGAUUAUCAAAAGAAAGAUCUUAGGUAGGUUACAGGCAGCUUUUGGUGCUGCCCAGUUUUUAAUUUUUUUAGUUUUCUUAUUCUCAUUAUUUUCCAGAGGACCAAAUUAUGCUUCCAGUUCAUGUAUGGGGUUUUAGAUACAGCUCUCUUCUCAUUUACUGGACCAAAUGCCUUAAUUCUCACCAGGGUCAAAUCUAGCUCGCUUGCUAUGUCCUCUUGAACCCCUCAGAACAAGUACCAAUGGUUAUGUAUGAAUGUUGCAUCUUUCAGAACCUUUCUUAUUUCUUAUUUCCCAACUGUGUCUUCUUAAUGGAUCUUUCUUAUUUCCCAACUGUGUCUUUUUAAUGUACCAAAAUCCGUUCAUAAAUAUGUAUUUUAUCUCAGUGUAUGCAUUUCUAAAUGCAUGUCUUUCUAAAAUACGCCUUUUUGACGCAUUCUGGUACAUUGUUUGACCUGAGAAUUUUUAUUGCAAAAUACAGAGGACAAUUAUGUUCUGAAUCGUGUUAUUUGUCCAGGGUGGCUGCAUGGGAACUUCGUUGAUUCCCGUAAAAGGGGGACAGAACAAAACUCUCCUCCAUCCCUAAGGCCAGCCCCCCUACAUUUGCAUACCUGCAGUAAAAUCACCAAAUUGUAGCCUGGGAAUCAUCCUCAAGAAGUUAACUGCUGCCUAGCAGGUAACAAAGAUAGCAAGUGAGAUAUUAGCAUGCAGGAGGGAGCCAUUUUGUAGCCAUUAAUUCCUCACGGUCAAAAUGGCACCCCUCUCUACUUCCCACUAAGUAUCAUGGAGCAGAACCCAUCAGCGAACAUUUCAUUGAAAUAAAUGGAAUGAGCUCACUUCAUAUCAGUGAGACUUUCAGCAAACAACUUUCCAGUCAAUGUUACCUCAUGAGGGUGCCAGGAAUCAGCCGCCUCUGGUGCCUGACUCAUCGUACUAAAUGGCAGGUAGACCACUUUUGGCCCUUGCACUAUGAUGGCCAAUUGCUGCCUUCCUCUCUGAACCUCAGCCUGUUUCCAGGCCAUGAUGUUUCUUAAGACAAUCGGAAAAAGAGGACCCGCUUUAUCUCCUCUUAACCUGCUUUAAUGUUUUCCCCCGACCAAAGAUGUUAGUCCAGAAGUUAUUAGAGCUGCAGAUAGCAUUAGGAUAAAGCCAUUCGACAAUGAAAGCAGGAUUGCUUCUUCAGUUGUUUUUAAUUCAGGGAAUCAACUUUACUCCCUUGGGGGUUUAGCCACUUUCUGGAACCAGGAAGCAAUUAUAGCUUUAUGUGAAAGAGGUUUAUUUAUCUUAAUACACCAAAGAGCUCUUUAGAUAGGGCUGGCUCCAGCAGAGCUUACGAAUAUGAAGUUGUCCUUUUUCCUGUAUUUGAAUAUUCAUCCACAUUUCUUUCCAAGGCCGACCCAGGUGAGUCCUGUUGAUCUUUUGAUCCCAGGCUCCAAAGCAUGGCCAACUACUCACAAGAGCAUUUGCACAGCAGAAUGCUCCUAUGUGACUUUGGCCCCAUAAGUCUGUGGAGAGAUAAUUGCGAUUUCAGAACACGUGCCAAGGCCCUGUGGCAUCCAAUUACCUAGACAAUGGAAGGAAUCAACCACUUGAUCAGGAAGGACUCAGCAAAUCCUUCUGUUUGGGCACACCUGUGAAAAGCAGCGAUGCUUGGUGUUCUAGAGUGUUAGUCAUGGCAGAAGCAUCUCCCUGCAUUAACCAUCUGUAUAUAAACCGUGCCAAAGACUCUCAGGGUAACUCUUGCAGGGAAUCCAGUGCUUAUGGCUGAGCUAUUGUGUCCUGGGGAAAAUUGGCUCUGUGGUUUGGGCCUAGCACCCCUGCUAGGUUUGCGCCUGUGGAUUUAAAUCCUGCCCAAAGGCAACCUGAGGCCUGUAUUUUAGAUGAGACCUCUAGGAGCCUAAAGCCUGCACUUUGUAAGGUUCCAGGUUCAGGCCUCUCCCUCUCUGCCUGAGACCUUAGAAAGCCACUGCCAGUCAGAGCGAACAUUACUAGGCUAGAUGGACUGAUGCAGUGUAAGGCAGGUGAAACUCGGAGAAUUAGAAUAUCGUCAAAAAGUGCAUUUAUUUCAGUAAGGCAACUUAAUUUUAAUUUUUACAAAUGCUUUCUUUUGGAAAUUCCACAGUAAUAAAACAAACAGUUACAAUAAUAAAAACAAAACAAAAAUAAACAUCGCUAUUACAUUUCAUUAAUUCCAUUCCAUUUAUAAUUGACCCGCCUAACAACAAAUAAUUACAACAAAUAAAGGCUUGACAUAUCUUGCUUUGCAUGUCAUGCAUCUAUCUCAUAUAUUGGUUUCACUUUUUAAGUUGCCUUGCUGAAAUAAAUGCACUUUUUGAUGAUAUUCUAAUUUUCCGAGUUUCACCUGUAUGUUCAUCCUGUGCAUGGUAACUCAGAUGUAAAGCCAUUGAAGUCAAUGGUGCUUACUCCUACCGGUAGUUAAGGAAGCCUUAGAGCAGGCAUCCCCAAACUUCGGCCCUCCAGAUGUUUUGGACUACAAUUCCCAUCUUCCCCGGCCACUGGUCCUGUUAGCCAGGGAUCAUGGGAGUUGUAGGCCAAAACAUCUGGAGGGCCGCAGUUUGGGGGUGCCUGCCUUAGAGCAAGGCUCCAUCACUUUGCUGGGGUGCAGCAGAGCAGAAUGGGUUGUAAAUUUUGGAGCUCUGUGGAACAGCAAAUUAUUCUGCCAAAAGAACUGCCAGGUCCUAGACUGACUCAUUUCUUUUUCUUUUUGGUCAUUGUAUGCUGGAUAUAUUUUGCCUUUUGUUUCUGUCCUGUGAAUAUGAAGGUCUGACGUUAUUCAAACCAUUUGUGGGUGAGGUGGAGAAAUCAGUGGCCAGGUUUGGGAACCCAGGUAUUCCAAAGAAGCCAACCCCCACCCCCACUGCAAAAUCUAGCAGCCAUAUCCACCUCAACAUACUUUGCAUAUCAACUACCAUCUUCACUUCCGUCAAAAAUACAGCUGCCUCUA